rnacentral:rRNA from 1 species
CGGGAAUCUUUGGAGCUUGCUUUGGAGAUUUCUAGUGGCGGACGGGUGAGUAACACGUGAGCAACCUGCCCUGAAGUGGGGGAUAGCCCGGGGAAACUCGGAUUAAUACCGCAUAUGGUCUACGGAUCAAAGAUGGCGUAAGCUAUCGCUUUGGGAUGGGCUCGCGGCCUAUCAGCUAGUUGGUGAGGUAACGGCUCACCAAGGCGACGACGGGUAGCUGGUCUGAGAGGACGAUCAGUCACACUGGAACUGAGACACGGUCCAGACACCUACGGGUGGCAGCAGUCGAGAAUCAUUCGCAAUGGACGCAAGUCUGACGGUGCGACGCCGCGUGGAGGAUGAAGGCCCUAGGGUCGUAAACUCCUGUCAUCAGGGAGUAAGGUUUUACGUAGUAACUGACGUAAAAAUUGAUAGUACCUGAAGAGGAAGGGACGGCUAACUUCGUGCCAGCAGCCGCGGUAAUACGAAGGUCCCAAGCGUUGUUCGGAUUUACUGGGCGUAAAGCGUCUGUAGGCGGCGAGGUAAGUCAGAUGUGAAAUCCCAGGGCUCAACCCUGGAACUGCAUCCGAUACUGCCUUGCUAGAGGGUCGGAGGGGAGUCUGGAAUUCUCGGUGUA